rnacentral:rRNA from 1 species
GUCCACGCCGUAAACGGUGGGUGCUAGUUGUGGGCCACAUUCCACGUGGUCCGUGACGAAGUUAACACAUUAAGCACCCCGCCUGGGGAGUACGGUCGCAAGACUAAAACUCAAAGGAAUUGACGGGGGCCCGCACAAGCGGCGGAGCAUGCGGAUUAAUUCGAUGCAACGCGAAGAACCUUACCAAGGCUUGACAUAUAGAGGAAACGUGCAGAAAUGUACGCCCCGCAAGGUCUCUAUACAGGUGGUGCAUGGUUGUCGUCAGCUCGUGUCGUGAGAUGUUGGGUUAAGUCCCGCAACGAGCGCAACCCUCGUCCUAUGUUGCCAGCACGUAAUGGUGGGAACUCAUGGGAGACUGCCGGGGUCAACUCGGAGGAAGGUGGGGAUGACGUCAAAUCAUCAUGCCCCUUAUGUCUUGGGCUUCACGCAUGCUACAAUGGCCAGUACAAAGGGCUGCAAUACCGUAAGGUGGAGCGAAUCCCAAAAAGCUGGUCUCAGUUCGGAUUGAGGUCUGCAACUCGACCUCAUGAAGUCGGAGUCGCUAGUAAUCGCAGAUCAGCAACGCUGCGGUGAAUACGUUCCCGGGCCUUGUACACACCGCCCGUCAAGUCACGA